AUGUCAGAGAAACAGUGGGUGUGUGUGGCAGUUUCUGACCAGGAUGUCUCUGUGUUUGCAGGUGUCCAGUGUGAGGUGCAGCUGGUCGAGUCUGGGGGAGGCUUGGUUCAGCCCGGGGGGGUCCCCUGAGACUCUCCUGUGCAGCUUCUGGAUUCACGUUCAGUGACUACAGGAUGUACUGGGUCCGCCAGGCUCCGAGUAAGGGGCUGGAGUGGGUGGCCAACAUAAAGUAUGAUGGAGGUGAAAAAUACUACGCAGACUCCGUGAAGGGCCGAUUCACCAUCUCCAGAGACAACGCCAAGAACUCGCUGUAUCUGCAGAUGAACAGCCUGAGAGCCGAGGACACGGCCGUGUAUUACUGUGCGGGACACAGUGAGGGGAAGUCAUUGUGAGCCCGGACACAAACCUCCUGCAGGGGCGCCUGGAACCAGCAGGGGGCGAUCGGGAUACACAGAGGACGGGGCAGCCCAGGGCAGGUGCAGGUGCAGGUCAAGGGCUGCUCUCCUUCAGGGCCUGUGGCUUCCUCUGCAUCUAA